GUGCAGCAGUGGGGGAAGGAGGGGGUGGGGGAGGUGGGGGGGGGGCUGCUGUUAGGCAGAUCCAGGAGGGCAGAGGUGUCAAAGCAGUUUUACAGCUUUCUGGUGCUGAUAUGUGCCGGAGCCAGGGGACUUUCUGAUGGACGUAUGGGAGCAACACAUACAGACUGUUUGAAAGGGUCAUCUGCGUAUUUCACAGCAGCGGCCCGUGGGGGCAGCCCGUUGGCAGUGGAGGGACCCAGGCCCUUCUGGCUGUUCCAGAGGACCCACCAGGACAGGGUUUCAGAGGAACACGAGAGCAGCUAAGCCCCUCGCUCAUGUCAGGGGAGCUGGGGGCAAGGACUUUCAGAGCUGGGUGUUUUGGGGCAAGGAAAAUUGGGGUAUGGCUUUUUGACAGUAAGGAGGUUUGGAAGUAAGGGCAUCACGAGGGAGCCUGGAGAUGGAAGCACUCAGGGCCGAGGGCACUUGCGAGCAAGGGCUGCUGGACGCACGGCACAGCCCCUCGGCGAUGGCACUCGAGGCUGAGGUUCUUUGGUGGUGAAAGCAUACAGGGCUAAGAGGGGAUGAGAGCGAAGAUAGAAAUAAUUUUGCUGUGGAUCCAAAUGGUGGCAUCGUGCUGUACUGACUUCGUCUCUUGUCUUCAUUCCACUAGCUUUUCACAAGGACGUGCUUUGGAGGCAUGACUUUACAAAGAAAAGAAAAUGCAACACUUCAUCUGAUACCAGUUCUGUUGCGUGAGUCCAACUGAGGGAUUGCUCAAGGGUACCUUUGUACCACGUCAAACUUCAGGAUUUUUACUACUCCAGCACAGUGGACUGUGACAGAGAUACAGGUUGGAGCUGUCAUGGUCAAGCACUGAGAGGAGGCAUUUAUUAAGCACUGCGAACGACAGGCUGGUAAAAGACUGCCUACAACUUUGUCUUUUGCAGCACCAAAUACAGAGUAUUAUUUAACAUUUCACGCACAACUUUGCAGAAAAGUUUUGUCCCCUUGGAAUCCUCCUAAGAUCC
rnacentral:lncRNA from 1 species